GACGAACGCUGGCGGCGCGCCUAACACAUGCAAGUCGAACGGAGAUAAGGAGGAGCUUGCUCCACCUUAUCUGAGUGGCGGACGGGUGAGUAACGCGUGAGUAACCUGCCUUAAAGAGGGGGAUAACGUCUGGAAACGGACGCUAAUACCGCAUAACGUACGGUCCUCACAUGGGGACUGUACCAAAGAUUUUAUCGCUGGAAGAUGAGCUCGCGGCCGAUUAGGUAGUUGGUGAGAUAACAGCCCACCAAGCCGACGAUCGGUAGCCGAACUGAGAGGUUGAUCGGCCACAUUGGGACUGAGACACGGCCCAG
rnacentral:rRNA from 1 species